rnacentral:rRNA from 1 species
UACAGAGGUCUCAAGCGUUGUUCGGAUUCAUUGGGCGUAAAGGGUGCGUAGGUGGCGUGGCAAGUCUGAUGUGAAAUCCCGGGGCUCAACCCCGGAACUGCAUUGGAUACUGCCAUGCUUGAGCACUGGAGAGGAGACUGGAAUUUACGGUGUAGCAGUGAAAUGCGUAGAUAUCUGGAGGAACACCGGUGGCGAAGGCGGCAUCCUGGACCAACACUGACGCUGAGGAGCGAAAGCCAGGGGAGCAAACGGG